GCCGCCGCCGCUUACAACUUGGAGGCGGCGGCGGCGGCGGCGGAGGAGGCGGCGGCGGCCGCCGGGCGCUGCAGUGGGACGCGCGCGGCUGCGAGCCUGCGGGACAUGCCCCCCGCGCCGGCUCCUUGCUGGCGGCCAUGAAGAGGCAGAACGUGCGGACUCUGUCCCUCAUCGUCUGCACCUUCACCUACCUGCUGGUGGGCGCCGCCGUCUUCGACGCCCUCGAGUCGGACCACGAGAUGCGCGAGGAGGAAAAACUCAAAGCGGAGGAGGUCCGGAUCAAGGGCAAGUACAACAUAAGCAGCGAGGACUACCGGCAGCUGGAGCUGGUGAUCCUGCAGUCGGAGCCGCACCGCGCUGGCGUCCAGUGGAAAUUCGCCGGCUCCUUCUACUUUGCCAUCACGGUCAUCACCACCAUAGGUAAGGGCUGGGCGCGCCGCCGCCCGGCUCCCCGCGUCCCGGGAGGAGUCCGGGGAGGCGGCUGAGCGCGCGGCGCAGGGCUGGGUGCGGGGCGCCGAGGGUUAAACGCAGCCUGUCGCCGGGGCCCCUCCCGCAGCGCCCCCUCCUCUCCGGGAGCCCCCGCCUCUCCUGCGCCUCCGCGCCGUCUCACCCCUCGCGGACCCCACCCGGUGCCCUCCUCCGCGCCGGUGUCUGGGCCGGGCGUGCGAGCCCGGAGCGAGCGUGCCGGAGCCUGGAGGGCGGAGGCGCCACUUUUGCAAAGAGAGUGGAGCGCUAAGAAUAAUCCCACAGCAGACACCCACCCACCCACCGCCCCGGCGCGGGCUGGGCUGCGCGGGCCUCCAAGCCUUACACUUACUACCUCUCCGGGAGUUGGAGAGGGCUGGCCUGGCACCUGCGGCGCGGAGACCGACUCAGGUGGCCGCGGACGGCUCUCGGAGCGAGGCAGGCGCUGACCCUCGCCAGCCUCCAGCCUCCUCCGAGCCCAGGUUUCAGUUCUCCUGACUCCUGGCUCCUCUUCUUCCAUGCUGGAACCUGGUCGUGCCAGGCCCCUGGGAGGAGAGGGUUUGCUCUUUGGUGAUGGGGGCGGGGGCGGGGCGGUGGCGGCCUGGUGAGAGGCUCUAGGAGCGCGGUGGAGAGCCCGUGGGGGGGCAGGACCAGCCCACCCCCAGGCUGGGCCGGUGGGUAAGGCACGUGUGCGUAUUGCCCAGAAGCCGGGGAAGUUCAGGUCCAGGGAGAGAGUCCAGUUGGUACACCCUGGGGAUUCCUGUGGGUCUGAGCCCGAAGGUGCUGCCGGUGAAGCAGCCUCUGGUGGGCACCUAGGGCAGGACCCCCACUGAGGCCAAGGGGUUCAGGCAACUUGCGUCCCUCACCCUUGGAGACCUGUGGGAAAUAGAGCAGGUCACUUCAUCCCAGUGGAUUUGGGGCUGCCCUCCCCACGCCGCAGGAGGCAGGGUGGUGUCUCUGUGGUGUGCACCUUGUCCCAGCGCGGCACCCGGCCUCUCAUGGCCACCUCCGUGGACCUGUCAGGGCCACUGUAUGGGCUCGGGGCCACCUCUAGUUUGCUCCCCUCCAGUUCUCUGUGCCCCUGUGCCCUGAGAAGAGGCCUCGUCUUCCCCAUCCUUCUCUCCGUCCCUCCUGCCUGACUUCUCUGGACCUCCUUCUCUGAUUUUCCCCUUGAUAUUUUUCUCUCUCUGGAAAGCUCUGUGUGCCGAAAAAACAGGAUUUCUCAGUGCCGUAUGCAACAGGAAGCACCAGCACAGGACGGCUUGUCUUUCCUUCUUGGUUGGAAAGAGUUUUUAAGAGAGUCAUCUUGUUUGAAACGUUUAAUUCAUUGGUGUAGGUUUUUAUGUUUUCAGGAGGAAAUUGUCCUUCUGUUGUCUGUGGAACCAGCUUUGCUCCUCUUGCCACACGUCCUUGGCCCAGGGGCCAAAACACAGUAGAGUCCUUCCUUUGCCACCCUGUGCUUCCAGCUCCUGAAAGGGCCAGCCAGUCAUAACCAUCGUUCCUGUUCUUCACACUUCCAGUGUGAGCUGUGGCCGUGACACACAUGCACAGGGCGUCCAUCCUGCGGGGCAGGGGCCUGCUUGCAGGAGAGCCAGAGAGCCGGGGAUAUGCCUCCAGAACUGACCACCCCUGGGGAGGGGAAGCACUCAUCGUUCCCUAAAGUGCCUUGAGUGGCGUAGACCCAAAUCAGAUGAAAGCUGCGAGCGUGCUGGCCACCAGUAGUGAAGUGAGCACAGGAAACCUUUGGCCGGUCCCAAGAGUUGAACUGCAACGUUGAAGAGACGGUUGGAGUUAAAAUGAAACCUAGAGAUGUUCCACUUACCUGAUAAGGUUCUUAUCGAUUGCGUUUAUUGAUUCUGAUUGGCAGUUCUGGGCAUAUGCCUCUAAUGGUUAGGGCUCCAAAGAGGAAGGGGCAAAGCAGGGUGGCCAGGUGGAGCGUGUGGAGGGGCAGCCGAUGACCGUGCUGGCUUAUUCCCCACUUCUUUUGUUGAGUUUUCAACUGAUUUUCCGGAAAGAGAGGGUGGAAUAUAUGUGUAAGGCUAGGAAGAAAAGACUGUCCUAACUCAGCCGCCCUGUGGUGGAAAGAUGCUGAACCUGGAGCCCGCUGACCGGGCUUGGAACCUGGGUUCCAUGAAGGGCAGGGUGGUGUGCUGACUCCCAGCCUGUUUCCCCACCUGUAGAAGGGGCGUGACGCCGUAACCUCCCGCCAGGGUGACUCUGAAGGGCCAGUGGGAUCCCUCGUGCCUGCAGCCGCCUGGUACAGCGCUGUGUGCACUUCGUAGGUGAGAAUCCAUGAAUUUUGACAUCAGCUAAGCCUGACUCUGCCCUAGGAAGCUGUUUAGCUCUGAAGAGCUCGAAUUUACGGGAAACCAAGCACCUAUCUAGUUAAUUCCGUUUGUUUUCUUCUAUUUUAAUAUAAAUGCAAAUUAAGGUGCUCCUAGGCCUACACCAAAACCCAGCCCCAAGCCAGGCCCUCCAAGGAAGCGCCUCCUAUCGGACAGUGAUGGUAAUGAGUCGGGUGCGUCUUCAGGGGCGCUCUUCUUUUUAAUCUAACCUUGAGCGGUUUCUUGAGUGUGCAUGCUUCAACUCUGAGCUCGGGUCUCCAAGGUGGGGCGGGAACCACCCUCACUCCCUCUGCUAAUGUACGCUGCUUCCCGGAUGCAGUUAGUAGCGCACUCGCGAACGGGAUUUUAAGAACAUGUAUAAUUACCACUCUGCCUUGGACCUGUGGCCGCCGUUUUCGUCAGAGCCUUUGUCGGGCUCUCACACUGACCGCCGGCCAGCUCUCCCGGGAGCCCGGGCACAGGCACCUUUGUCCUAAGGAGGGACGAGCACAGGUCCCACAGGCUCCAAGAAGGCAGAUUCACUCCCAUCGCUGCUCCAGUUCUGGGUGCCGUCCGUCCCUGCUCUCUGCUUCUGAUGUCUGUGCCACUUGUAGCUGCUGCCCAGGAGAUGGUAUUGUUGCGUUCUAAAUUUGGCGAGCCCGAGGCCUUCGGAACUCUCCAUCGUGUUCAAGAUGAAAACUCCUUCUGCAUCCCCUGCCGUGCCCAUCUGAUUAGCAGGCGGGUUGGAAACCCUCCCACCUGCCUUCCUGAGCUGUUGGUAGGAGUGGUGGCAGUCAGGAGUCCCCGCGGCCAGGGGCUGUAGAGCGCCUGCUCCGAAUUGCUCUGCUCAGGGCUAAGGCCUGGGUGGGAAGGAACCCCCAGCACACGGGGGCUCUUCCUACAGGAGGCGCUUGAGGCCAAAAUUGUGUCCCGCCAUCAGCGACUACUUCUGACAACAGCGGGAAUCUCCAGACACUUCUCUUUCGACUCUAACAUCUGUGUUCUAAGUAGUUACCACCUUCGGGAUCAUUAAAGAGGAAACUGUGCUUAGAAUUCAGAUCUCAUUUGGAGGAUCUAAGAGGCCGAUUUAAAACCUGGGCCUCACAGGGGAAGGAGGGAAGGAAGGGCCCUGCGUUUUGUUUUUGCUGCUGUUUGGAGGAGGAACAGACUGACGUCAGGCCCUUCGGGCCCGGCUGAAGGCGGGGUGGCUGCUCCAGGGCACCGGCUCGGGAGCUGGGUCCCUGGCAGGGGGUGGGGCACAGUCCCAGAAGGUCUGCGCUCCUGCGGGCUCCCUGCUCAAGGUCCCCCGCCCCAGAAUGCAGUGGGGCGCCCCCUUUUCUCGCUCAUCCGCAGGACCUUGAACAGACUUCUCACCAAGUGGAAAGCGUCUCCCAUGUCCUCUUCUCGCGCUCUGGGGUGCAGGUUUCGAUCCACGGUUUACACUCUCGCUGCGUGCCAGACCCUCCCUGGCCUGUGCUGCCUCUGGGGCUCUGGGGACCGUCUAGAUGACAAGAUAAGGCCUGGCCUUGAGGCAGGAGGGGAGCUGGAAACCCAAACAGUUGGGUGCAGUCCAGCGUGAAGCGUGGGGACAGCUAAGCUCAGUUAACCCUUCCUGAGCCACCGGCAGACAGCCCAGGGGCUGGGCGCGGCUUACCCUCUGCCCCUCACUGCCCCCGAGCUGUGCCCCCUGCCCUCCGCACCUCCUCCAGCUCCAGCA